AAGUGCUUCGCUUGAUUUCACCCUUAGGUUUGAUUUUCGAUUCUGGGUUUCAUUGAAUCUGAUCUUGUGUGAAACCCAUUUUCUCAGUACUAGGGUUUUUGAUUUGAGAGAUCGUGAAGAGGAAUAACGCUUUCCUCAUCGAAGAGUUUGGAAAUGAAAAUCAGAUGCUUCAAACACUCUGGGUUAGCAAAUACAAAGACAGUUUCAGUUCAAGAUGGAAAAGAUUCGGGUAUUGUUCUUGCAACUACUAAUUUUGGUGCAGAUAUCAUAGUUUCUUGCUAGAAUUCGUUCUGUAUGAUGUAUUAAAGUUUUAAUAUUACUUUCAAGUUUUCAUUAGGUGGGUUCAGUUUCUAGGUAUAAUUGAAUGUUUCUCCAAGGAGAAAUAAGGGUUUUUAGUUUUAAGUCAGAUCUUUGCUUGUAUCUUUUUUUGUGUUCAAGGUCACUGUUAGGUUUUUGUUUGUUUCCCUUGUGAGAAGUUUAGUUUCAAGUCUCUUUUGAGUUUUUUCAUCGAGGCAAAGCUCUUUUACAGGUCACUAUUAGGUUUUGUUGCAUCUCAUUGUUCACAGGCAUAUGGGUGAGAGCUGAUGAUGUUGUGGUCAAAGUUUGAGGCGACGACUCUCACGAGAGAUGCUGGUGUCAGGUCCGGUCGUGGUUGCCGAUGGAAGGGCAGGGUUUGCUACGAACCCGUUUCACGAACCCACAAGGUACUUUGGGGUAGUUGAUUUUACCUUUAUAAAGAAAUUGAUGUUAUUGCAGCCUUUUCCUGUGGAGUUAGAACCUGGAAUUUUGGGAAAUAUUUUUGACAAAUUGGAAGCAUAAUACAACUUAACGAUAGAAGGAGCAUAAAGAAGAAGAGUCUGUCGAAGAUGAGGCGCCUGUGAUAACAAUAUGGGAAGCAAUUGGAUGGCUAGGUGUGUUAACUCUUUGGAUUUCCGUUCUUUCUGGAUACCUGGUCAAUGUGAUAGAGGUAUCAUAUACGACCCUGUACCGGGCCUCUAUUAUCAUGCGCCUCAUUUAGUACUGGUACGUGUAUGGCUGUUAUAAACAUACUCAAUCCUAUUAAGCUGAUUUAAAUGUUUCCAUUGUUUUAACAGCAACAACAUGACCUUUUAUAUAAUUAAAACUAUAAAAUACACUCAAUUAGGUAGCGCAUUUCCUUAACUCACUCGAAUGCAGCCUAAUGCUACCCUAUUAAGUCUUAAUUCCAUUUGGUUGCACAUUGGAAUCAGCAAAAAACUUACAGAUGUCCUGCAGCAAAAAUUUCACUGAUGCAAGUAUGCAACUCUUUCUAUCUCAUGUUGCUUGUGGCAUUGUGGACAUAGUUGAAGGAGAUGCUGAUAAUCAGUCAAAUGUCCUGCAGUACAUCAAAGAAUUGUAAAAAAAAAGAGUAAGUAUCAUAGUUAAAGGACUGGAGUCCUCUAUAACUUGUGUGAAUGGGUGAUUUGUUGUUUGCUGCAGAUAUUGAGCGGCUUCUCUGAAAGGCGUGUGACGUCUAGCACAUUGAUCUUGUUGUUUCCUCUAGUGGAAAUCCUCGCAACUGACAACUUAAAUUUCAACCUCGGGGAACGCCUCAUGCAGCAAGAAUACAAGAACUUGCGAAAUACAAAGGAUCUGAGUGGUUUGUUGCUUAUAUACUAUUCACUUGGAGAUGCUGAAGGAAUACAAGCACUUGCAUCUCUUGCCAAAGAACAGCAACCGGAUUCCUGAAACUGCUUUGAUUGCGGCGGUCUUAUCUUCCAAACAAGGUCUCAGAGAUACUAGCACUUUGGAGUAACGACCUCAACAAGGUCGCAAAUAUGAGCAAUACGUCCCACUACUUACAAGGAUGGUUAUGAAGCAACAAGAAGCUAUACUUGUUUGAGCAUGAAUUGGAAAAGGAACAUACUGCGGAAGGUGUACAAGCAGCUGAAAGCUUUGUGGUCCUUGAAGGCUACAACUAGUUGGGAGGGAAUCUUAGAUUGAUAAAUUAUGGAUGAUUCCUUUGUAUAGUUGGGAGUUAGGAGGGAAUCUCAGCUGGAAACUGGACUAUGACACUCCCUCCCUGCUCACCCAUUUCAACUGUUGCGACCGAAAAUUCGCAAUUGCUUCCGAGUCGUUGCGAAAUUUUGCAAUAAUGACUUUCAUACAGAUUGAAACUAUUGCAACCGUGCUUUGCAACUGAACUCUGCCGUUACAAAUCGCUAAAAAUGGUGUAGUGAAUCUAAUUGAGUAUUUUUGGAUUCGAAUUCAUAUUCGUAUGUAAUUUGUGUCCAUAGAAAUUCAUCUUUUCUUAUGAAAUUAAGGUCGCUCUUGUUGUUCUUUCGGGAAUGACAGUUUAUGGGGGAGAGUUCUUAAUUGAACUUGUGCUUUAUUACCAAAUCUUUGUGGGGAG